GAGGAAAAGAAACCAACAGGGAUUGCCUUAGUAACGGCGAGUGAAGCGGCAAAAGCUCAAAUUUGAAAUCUGGCACCUUCGGUGUCCGAGUUGUAAUUUGAAGAAGGUAACUUUGGAGUUGGCUCUUGUCUAUGUUCCUUGGAACAGGACGUCACAGAGGGUGAGAAUCCCGUGCGAUGAGAUGCCCAAUUCUAUGUAAAGUGCUUUCGAAGAGUCGAGUUGUUUGGGAAUGCAGCUCUAAGUGGGUGGUAAAUUCCAUCUAAAGCUAAAUAUUGGCGAGAGACCGAUAGCGAACAAGUACAGUGAUGGAAAGAUGAAAAGAACUUUGAAAAGAGAGUGAAAAAGUACGUGAAAUUGUUGAAAGGGAAGGGCUUGAGAUCAGACUUGGUAUUUUGCGAUCCUUUCCUUCUUGGUUGGGUUCCUCGCAGCUUACUGGGCCAGCAUCGGUUUGGAUGGUAGGAUAAUGACUAAGGAAUGUGGCUCUACUUCGGUGGAGUGUUAUAGCCUUGGUUGAUACUGCCUGUCUAGACCGAGGACUGCGUCUUUGACUAGG
rnacentral:rRNA from 1 species